UCCUUGUUAGUACAAUGGCUAGUAUAGGGCACUCUCAACACCUUUGAGUGAUUCUGCUCAGAUCGGGGUUCAAUUCCCCGGCAGGGAA